rnacentral:rRNA from 1 species
GACGAACGCUGGCGGCGUGCCUAAUACAUGCAAGUAGGACGAGUUGCAAACGGGUGAGUAAAGCGUAGGUACUACCUAUUAGAGGGGGAUAACUAUUGGAAACGAUAGCUAAUACCGCAUACUAGUAGAUGACCUGCGUUGUAUUAGCUAGUAGGUAGGUUAAUGGCCUACCUAGGAAACGAUCCCUAGCUGGUCUGCGAGGAGGACCAGCCACACUGGAACUGAGACACGGUCCAGACUCCUACGGGAGUCAACAGUGGGGAAUAUUGCACAAUGGGCGCAAGCCGGAUGCAGCCAUGCCGCGUGUGUGAAGAAGGCCUUCGGGUUGUAAAGCACUUUCAGCGAGGAGGCGUUACUCGCAGAAGAAGCACCGGCUAACUCCGUGCCAGCAGCCGCGGUAAUAC